AAACAUCGGGAAGGGAUCUUUGUAAUACACCAACCAACCAACCAGUGGGCAGGAGCACCGAGGGGCCACAAAAUGUUGAAACCCACAGUUGUAGGAUAUCAUUUAUACAACAACUGAACCAGUAUGUGUUGUAAUAAUAACACUGUGUAGUAUGAUCUUCAUCCUUGGGUAGCAACUGUUGGUUCCUCUUUGCUUACCCCUUAGAAAGUAUGAAAAAUGGCUCAUAUUUCCUUAAAACUUUGCUUUCACUCAAACCCCAAAGAAUCCCUCUCAACACAUGGCUAUGAUGCUCCCCCAAUACUCCUG